UACGGAGGAUGCAAGCGUUAUCCGGAAUGAUUGGGCGUAAAGCGUCCGCAGGUGGUUUUAAAAGUCUGUUGUUAAAGCGUGAGGCUUAACCUCAUAAGGGCAAUGGAAACUAUAAGACUAGGGUACGUUCGGGGCAAGGGGAAUUCCCAGUGUAGCGGUGAAAUUCGUAGAUAUUGGGAAGAACACCAGUGGCGAAGGCGGCUUGCUAGGCCGUAACUGACACUCAGGGACGAAAGCUAGGGGAGCGAAAGGG
rnacentral:rRNA from 1 species